CAAAUUUUGGGAGUUGCAGUCCCACCAUAUUUGGAGAGGUGACCCAGUUCACAGACUAAAGCAAGAGCUUCUGAGAACAUACUGAUCCUCCAGAGGCUGAGAUGGUUUUGGUAGGAUCCAGAUUCACUUUUUCCCUGCAAUGUUAAUUUAAGCACAGUUGAGUUAGCUCUUUCUAUCUUGUACUAAUUCUGGUUCUCAUUGCUAGGUUCUAUGCUGCCCAUUGUAUUGCAGAUUUUAUCUUGAAUACUUUCACCUGCAAGAGAGCUUUGAAACUUUUUAAACAUCUGUUCCCCUAGCCUGGUAUUGCAAUGGGAAGAAAAAGACAGCCUUCCUUCAUUUCAGUGUUUCUGCUUCCUAAGAUUGGCCUAGUGUGCUAUGUGAACAUAGCUGAACAUUGAUUUCUUUGAAACAGCAGUGGUUGUGCCAGAUACCACCCCCUAUGGUGAGGGGGCAAUGGCAAGGGAAGAUGCAUAUGAAGCAUCCUAAACAUCAGAAGGGUUAAUUGACAUCCCAGCAGAACACGGCUUGACAAGACCUGCCUGGCACCUGUAAAAUAGCCUGGAAGCUUACAUCCAUCUUCACGUAAUUGCCCCAAAGAUCCCAACUGACCCCUCUUUACCUUGCAGCUGGAAUUACAAGAAAGAUGACAAAUGUGCUUGGCCAAGGCUUAGUGGUCCCCCGAGAAGGCACCAACAGGUUUUUCCCCUGCAAAAAACACGUUGAGAUGAUUUUUCAAAAAUCCUUUGGAAAUCUUGCUUAUGCCCUGAUUGACUCAAGGGAUGGAAACUAUUUUCCAUGGCAGGCGAGAAGGGCUUUG